rnacentral:lncRNA from 1 species
CUCACCGGUAGCGGCCUCAGCCGGGCCCGCUCGGCCCCGCUCUCUCCUCCGCUGCUGGGACGCGUCUCCUCUGGGAGCCGGGAGGGGCAAUGACGGCAAAACAAGGUGAGCAGGAGGAACCUGUGGCUGAUCAGAGCCCAGUCAGCACGGAGACACUGCUGUCUGUGGCUCCACUGGCACUGCCCUCUGACCCGAGCCUGCUCUGUAUGCUGAAAAGACGGAAGAUGUAACUUGAUGACGCUUGAGAACAGAAGCCAGCCUUGAGCUCCUAGUGUUAGCAUCUCAGCCCCGGAGAGGGAGUACAUGUCCACUGUAGUAUGGAUGAAACGGCUGAGAU